UAUUACAAUCAGAAACAAACAAAUAUUUUGCCAUAACACUUUCUUCUUAUAGGUAACACCACUACAAUAAAAACGAUUUAUAGCAGCACUUUUAAAUGUAAGUACAUGUCAAAAAAGUGUUGCUAGCUAAAAUUACCGACACUUUUAAAAAGUGUUGCUAUAUGUGGGGUCGCUAGGUAUAUUGUGACGGUUAAAGAAUGUCGCUAUAACCUAAAAAGUGUUGCUAAUUUACCAACACUUAUUUAAGCAUUUAGCAACCGCCGAAACUCUAUCUCGUUGGCUGCGGUGACGGAAGAGGACGACAGUAAAGGCUCUUCGUCUAGAAUUUCAAUGGAUUGAGUGAAGAGAGAAGAAAAGAUGAUAAUUGAUUUUUUUUUUUUUUUUUCUGUUUGUAAUCGGGCCAAAUGGACUGGGUGUGGUGGGUUGAGUAGAGUAAUCUUUUAUUUUUGGUUGAAUUGGGCUUUAUAUUUAGGCAUUAGUAGAUGUGUUUUUAAGUUUUAGCAUAAAUGGAACACUU
rnacentral:lncRNA from 1 species